rnacentral:rRNA from 1 species
AUUGAACGCUGGCGGCAUGCCUUACACAUGCAAGUCGAACGGUAACAGGUUAAGCUGACGAGUGGCGAACGGGUGAGUAAUAUAUCGGAACGUGCCCAGUCGUGGGGGAUAACGUAGCGAAAGCUACGCUAAUACCGCAUACGAUCUACGGAUGAAAGCGGGGGAUCGCAAGACCUCGCGCGAUUGGAGAGGCCGAUAUCAGAUUAGGUUGUUGGUGAGGUAAAGGCUCACCAAGCCUGCGAUCCGUAGCUGGUCUGAGAGGACGACCAGCCACACUGGAACUGAGACACGGUCCAGACUCCUACGGGAGGCAGCAGUGGAGAAGUUUGGACAAUGGACGCAAGUCUGAUCCAGCAAUGCCGCGUGCAGGACGAAGGCCUUCGGGUUGUAAACUGCUUUUGUACGGAACGAAACGGCGAGCUCUAAUACAGUUUGCUAAUGACGGUACCGUAAGAAUAAGCACCGGCUAACUACGUGCCAGCAGCCGCGGUAA